GAUCCUGGCUCAGGAUGAACGCUGGCGGCGUGCUUAACACAUGCAAGUCGAACGAAGCACUUAGGAUUGACUCUUCGGAUGACGUCUUUUGUGACUUAGUGGCGGACGGGUGAGUAACGCGUGGGUAACCUGCCUCACACAGGGGGAUAACAGUUAGAAAUGACUGCUAAUACCGCAUAACCCGAUAGGAUCGCAUGAUCCAGACGGAAAAGAUUUAUCGGUGUGAGAUGGACCCGCGU
rnacentral:rRNA from 1 species